rnacentral:rRNA from 1 species
GGGUGCGAUCAUACCAGCACUAAUGCACCGGAUCCCAUCAGAACUCCGAAGUUAAGCGUGCUUGGGCGAGAGUAGUACUAGGAUGGGUGACCCCCUGGGAAGUCCUCGUGUUGCACCAA